CCUACGGGAGGCAGCAGUGAGGCAUAUUGGUCAAUGGCCGGGAGGCUGAACCAGCCAAGUCGCGUGAGGGAAGACGGCCCUACGGGUUGUAAACCUCUUUUGUCAGGGAGCAAGGUGCAGGUCGGGACCUUCUGUUAGAGUACCUUAAGAAAAAGCAUCGGCUAACUCCGUGCCAGCAGACGCGGUAAUACGGAGGAUGCGAGCGUUAUCCGGAUUUAUUGGGUUUAAAGGGUGCGCAGGCGGAGGCACAAGUCAGCGGUAAAAGCGCGGGGCUCAACCCCGCUACGCCGUUGAAACUGUGUCCCUUGAGUGCGCGAAGGGUAGGCGGAAUGCGUGGUGUAGCGGUGAAAUGCAUAGAUAUCACGCAGAACUCCGAUCGCGAAGGCAGCCUACCGGCGCGCAACUGACGCUCAUGCACGAAAGCGUGGGUAUCGAACAGGAUUAGAUACCCUUGUAGUC
rnacentral:rRNA from 1 species